ensembl:scaRNA
GUCCUUUUUACUAUGGGGAUGGAAGAGGGCAUCCUUUUCUCCUUAGACAGGGCUGGAGACCAAGAUCAGCUCUUGUGGAUGGAUCAUUGUUGGGACUGCCACAAGAUGAGUAGCCUUAUCUUCCUACCUCAGACGUCU